rnacentral:rRNA from 1 species
AUACGGAGGGGGCUAGCGUUGUUCGGAAUUACUGGGCGUAAAGCGCGCGUAGGCGGCUUAUCAAGUUAGGCGUGAAAGGCCUGGGCUCAACCCGGGAACUGCGCUUAAUACUGGUAGACUUGAGUCCGGGAGAGGGUGGCGGAAUUCCCAGUGUAGAGGUGAAAUUCGUAGAUAUUGGGAAGAACACCAGUGGCGAAGGCGGCCACCUGGCCCGGUACUGACGCUGAGGUGCGAAAGCGAGGGGAGCAAACAGGAUUAGAAACCCCGGUAGUCC